UUGAAUGGCUCAGUGAGGCGUCCGGACUGGCCCAGAGAGGUGGGCAACUACUUCUCAGGGCCGGAAAGCUCUCCAAACUCGGUCAUUUAGAGGAAGUAAAAGUCGUAACAAGGUCUCCGUUGGUGAACCAGCGGAGGGAUCAUUA
rnacentral:rRNA from 1 species